rnacentral:rRNA from 1 species
AACGAACGCUGGCGGCGCGCCUAAUACAUGCAAGUCGAGCGAGAAGGUGUAGCAAUACACUUGUAAAGCGGCGAACGGGUGAGGAAUACAUGGGUAAUCUACCAUCGAGUGGGGAAUAACCAGCCGAAAGGUUGGCUAAUACCGCGUACGCUUCCGAGUCUUCGGGCUUGGAAGGAAAGCCGCACUGUGAGUGCGGCGCUCUUUGAUGAGCUCAUGUCCUAUCAGCUUGUUGGUAGGGUAACGGCCUACCAAGGCUUUGACGGGUAGCUGGGUCUGAGAGGACGAUCAGCCACACUGGCACUGCGACACGGGCCAGACUCCUACGGGAGGCAGCAGUAAGGAUAUUGCGCAAUGGGCGAAAGCCUGACGCAGCGACGCCGCGUGGGGGAUGAAGGUCUUCGGAUUGUAAACCCCUUUCGGGAGGGAGAUGGAGCGAGCAAUCGUUCGGACGGUACCUCCAGAAGCAGCCACGGCCAACUUCGUGCC